UAGAACGAUUGUUUACAAGGCGAGCCAACAAAUUUCUUCGAUGAAUCAAUUAUAAAUGGAAACAUUUUUCUACAUUCCUAGAUCUAGAAUCUAGAUCAUCGCGAUAAUUCUUUCAAGUUUACGAAGCAUAUCGAAAUCAUUUAACUCUGCUCAGUCGUCACAUUUUUGGUGUUGUAUAUUUGAUAUCCAUAAGGAUUCCCCUCCCAUAGCGAAGAUUAGCAUGGUGGUAGGUUUGGAAUUAUGUUCUGAAUUAAUUACACAUCGGAUUUUGACAGCGAUUUUGUGAUAUACGACGGUUGCUGUACGCGGUGUUUGAAAUCUGGAUAAUAAAGCUUUGCAGGCCCACAAUAAACAACGGCGCUGUCCAUGUCCGUGAAUAUUCGGCGGUGCCAGGACAUGCGGAAUAUGGUUAUCGUUCUCCCCAUCUAAAUCUUCCGAAUACCUUUCACUGCAGUUUUCAUCAUCGUAAUCACUGGCUCCUUUUGGCGGCUGUUUAACACGAUUUGCCAUACCGAUGAUACCGGCAUCUACCGCUUUCUGUGGCAUGUUAGAGGAAAAGGUCAUCUGCAUGCCGGAUGCGCUGGUGAGGAGUUUGUGAGAGCUAUCAGAAAGUCCAGUUGCAUCUGAUGGAAAUUGAUCAUUUCGCCGCGGUGUAUCUUGUAAGAUUACUGUGCUGCUUCUGUCAUUAAUCGUGCCUGUUGUUGCCGAUCCAUUAGCCACUGCAGCCGGGAAAGUGUACGUCGACAGCGACUGCUGUUGUGCUGACACAACGGAGCAGGAUUCUUCGUUAAACGGCGAUUGCGCCGGCUGUGGCAUUAAAUUCGGCGGAUAAAUGGGCAAAUUUAAAUGUUGAUAGUUGUCUGUCUUUAAUCCAUACGAAUAUGGAUAGUGAUCAGCAAAAUAAUUGCUCUGCGCGUAGACGGGAUACUGCGGAUGCUGAUUGUCCAUUUCGCCACGCAGGAUCCAUUUACAAUGCACGUCAUUCUCAUCUUGGAGUUCGUUAGUGAUCUCUUGGCUGCGGCUAAGCUGCCUAGCCUGUCUAACAUCCAUUAUGCUCCUUUGCCCUGUAGAUUUCACUACUUGUCACAACCCAUUCGUUCUUUCCCUGCGCCAAAAAUAUCCUGUUCGGACAUUUGAGGAUUUAUCUUUCUAACGACUCUAUGAAUUUUCUUCAUCGAUUACAGUUGGCAAAAAGGGUGACAUGUUGCUGCUCUAAUUUUGCUCUACCGUCAAAAGUUAAUUGUGGCCUUUA